AAGAUAUUCUUCAAUUGUCCGAAGCGCUUUGAGAAAAGCUCUCGCAAAAUUAAACGAAGCUCUUUCACGAUGAACAGCAAGUUUCUGUACAGUAUCUUGUUCGUAGUAGCUCUUGCGUUGUUGCAUCAAUCAGUCGAAUCGAAGAAGGUGGUGAUACACGUUCCUUACUCAGUGAAGAAUGUGAAACACACCCACACGAUCUACAAGAUAAUUCCUCACCAUCAUCAUCGUGAAUCAAAACACGAGGAUGAAGACGAACACUACGACAAUUAUAAAAAACGAUAAUGCGUGUACUUUUAUAGAUUAGAAUUGUAGCAAUAAUUGUAGCAAUAAUUCACGAGAAACAAGUUAAAAAAAAAAGCAGUCACUAGAUUGUUAUUACGAGCACUUAGAUGCAUU